AGGAAAGGCAUUAUUGAGUGCAGCGUUGAUGAACCUGCCGACCGACCAAUUAAUUAAUUCAUUAAUUAAUUAGUCUGAAAGUGGCUCGAAGGUUCACCAGCACUGCACCCAAUCACGCCUUUG
rfam:Oryza brachyantha chromosome 2, whole genome shotgun sequence.